rnacentral:rRNA from 1 species
ACUCUCAACCCUGUGAACAUACCUAAACGUUGCUUCGGCGGGAAUAGACGGCCCCGUGAAACGGGCCGCCCCCGCCAGAGGACCCUUAACUCUGUUUCUAUAAUGUUUCUUCUGAGUAAAACAAGCAAAUAAAUUAAAACUUUCAACAACGGAUCUCUUCGCUCUGGCAUCGAUGAAGAACGCAGCGAAAUGCGGAUAAGUAAUGUGAAUUGCAGAAUUCAGUGAAUCAUCGAAUCUUUGAACGCACAUUGCGCCCGCCAGUAUUCUUGGCGGGCAUGCCUGUUCGAGCGUCAUUACAACCCUCAGGCCCCCGGGCCUGGCGUUGGGGAUCGGCGGAGCCCCCCGUGGGCACACGCCGUCCCCCAAAUACAGUGGCGGUCCCGCCGCAGCUUCCAUCGCGUAGUAACUAACACCUCGCGACUGGAGAGCGGCGCGGACACCCUGUAAAACACCCUACUCUUCUGAAGGUGACCUUAAAUCAUGGUAGGGAAUACCCCUCCUGAACCUUCCGCAUAAUCAAAUAAGGGAGGA